GCGGAUAUGGUGGAAUUGGUAGACACGCUAGUUUCAGGUAUUAGUGAUGAAAGUCAUGCAGGUUCGAGUCCUGUUAUCCGCA
rfam:Clostridiales bacterium KA00274 genomic scaffold Scaffold100, whole genome shotgun sequence.